AAAACGCCUUUAAAAGCGCAAAUUAGGGAGAUAUUUUAGAUUCUCUGGAGCACAAAUUCGACGCAGAGCCAGAGAAUCUGGUACUAGUCUACAAUUACCUUGAAGAAAGAAAGCUAAUAGCGGAAACUACAGAAGGCCCACAAGAAUACGCUACCGUGGAAGAGGCCGAACUGCUAGUUCGGGAAACCAU